GUUAAUGUAUGUGUUCAUGUGACUUCCAUUGUGUUAAGAUGAGUGAAUGUGUUCUCCUUUUCUUCAAGGAACAUUAUUUUGACCCUCAAACUGGAAAUGGUUACUUGUCCUCCGAACCAUCCAGAGGAAUUCAGCUUCACCUGAUAAAUUACCACCUAGCCAGUCAUUCAGUGGUGGGCCAAUAGCUGAGAUGGAGACUCCAUCCCAUCCAGAGAUUACCCUGAUUUGGUGAAAAGUGUAGGGAAUCCAUUUCCCUGAUGAAGCAUUCUUCUGAUGAGGUCACCAACAAGCAGAAGAUGAAGAUGACAUUUGAAUACAGACGGAAGAUGACUCAUGACCCAAGUAAAUGCUGCGAGUUGCUGACUGGAUUUCCACAAUUCAUGGAUAUGAAGUGCCUGGAUGGACAGUGACCUCUCCUCCAUCCUCCUCCAGCUCCUUUUGAUUCCCCCUUCAUCACAAGGCCACAAAAGACCAGGCAAGGCAGGAAACAGUAUCCAGAAACACAUUGAUGCUAUUGCCCAAAGCAGUUAACCGUACCUCCUUGCUGUCAGGACCAAGAGGAGCAGCAUCCAUAGUUACUUGAUCAUCCUGGACAAGCAAGCUCUGCCAUCAAACUCUACAAGUGCCUUUUUUUAAAACGUUAGUUUAUUUGUUAAAUAUUUCCUUUACUCUUCUUGAACUGCGCUGUUGGUUAAGGGCUUGUAAGUAAGAAUUUCACAGUAAUGUCUACAGUUGUUGUAUUUGGCGCAUGUGAGAAAUAAAGUUUGAUUUG